rnacentral:rRNA from 1 species
GAAUUUUGGACAAUGGGCGAAAGCCUGAUCCAGCCAUGCCGCGUGUGUGAAGAAGGUCUUCGGAUUGUAAAGCACUUUAGGUUGGGAGGAAGGGUUGUAGCUUAAUACUCUGCAAUUUUGACGUUACCGACAGAAUAAGCACCGGCUAACUUCGUGCCAGCAGCCGCGGUAAUACGAAGGGUGCAAGCGUUAAUCGGAAUUACUGGGCGUAAAGCGUGCGCAGGCGGUUUUGUAAGACAGAGGUGAAAUCCCCGGGCUCAACCUGGGAACUGCCUUUGUGACUGCAAGGCUAGAGUACGGCAGAGGGGGGUGGAAUUCCGCGUGUAGCAGUGAAAUGCGUAGAGAUCGGGAGGAACAUCCAUGGCGAAGGCAGCUACCUGGACCAACACUGACACUGAGGCACGAAAGCGUGGGGAGCAAACAGG